UGGUGGAGUGAUUUGUCUGGUUAAUUCCGUUAACGAACGAGACCUCAGCCUGCUUUUGUAGUCGGGCCUAUCCUUCGGGCUAGGUUUCCAACUUCUUAGAGGGACUAUCGAUUUUCAGUCGAUGGAAGUUUGAGGCAAUAACA
rnacentral:rRNA from 1 species